rnacentral:rRNA from 1 species
GACGAACGCUGGCGGCGUGCUUAACACAUGCAAGUCGAACGGAAAGGCCCCCACUUUUUUGGUGGGGGUGCUCGAGUGGCGAACGGGUGAGUAACACGUGGGUGAUCUGCCCUGUACUUCGGGAUAAGCUUGGGAAACUGGGUCUAAUACCGGAUAGGACCAUGGUUUAGUGUCUCAUGGUGGAAAAAUUAUUGUUUUGGUGCAGGAUGAGCUCGCGGCCUAUCAGCUUGUUGGUGGGGUAAUGGCCUACCAAGGCGUCGACGGGUAGCCGGCCUGAGAGGGUGGACGGCCACAUUGGGACUGAGAUACGGCCCAGACUCCUACGGGAGGCAGCAGUGGGGAAUAUUGCACAAUGGGCGCAAGCCUGAUGCAGCGACGCCGCGUGGGGGAUGACGGCCCUCGGGUUGUAAACUCCUUUCGUUAGGGACGAAGCCGCACCUUUUUUGGGUGUGGUGACGGUACCUUUGUUAAGAAGCACCGGCUAACUACGUG